rnacentral:snoRNA from 1 species
ACCUUUUAGCUCCUACUUCCACUGGAUCUGAACUCAGUGGUCAUAAAAAAAAAAGAGGAAAAAUAAUGCUGAAGCUAACCUCAUAGCCUUGUAACUUGGUAAUAUAUUGUGUGGGCUACAUUUAAACAGGG